GAUGAACGCUAGCUACAGGCUUAACACAUGCAAGUCGAGGGGCAGCAUGAACAUAGCUUGCUAUGUUUGAUGGCGACCGGCGCACGGGUGCGUAACACGUAUCCAAUCUGCCCGUCACUCGGGGAUAACCCGGAGAAAUCCGGACUAAUACCGCAUAAAACAGGGGUCCCGCAUGGGAAUAUUUGUUAAAGAAUUAUCGGUGUCGGAUGGGCAUGCGUUCCAUUAGCUUGUUGGUGAGGUAACGGCUCACCAAGGCGACGAUGGAUAGGGGUUCUGAGAGGAAGGUCCCCCANACUGGUACUGAGACACGGACCAGACUCCUACGGGAGGCAGCAGUGAGGAAUAUUGGUCAAUGGGCAAAGCCUGAACCAGCCAAGUCGCGUGAAGGAAGACGGUCCUAAGGAUUGUAAACUUCUUUGUCGGGGAGUAAAGGCAGUUACGUGUAGCUGUUUGCAAGUACCCGAAGAAAAAGCAUCGGCUAACUCCGUGCCAGCAGCCGCGGU
rnacentral:rRNA from 1 species